AAGGUAAAGAAUUUGGUUCUGGUUAUUAUUAUUAAAUUAAAGAUAAUUUAUACAUGAAAAUUAUUAAGUGUGCUGGUGAGGACUAAUGGGUUUAUGUUACCUAAAUUAAAUUAAGUAAAAUAAAGUUAUUAGUAAAGUUUACUAUAUAAAUAUUAGUAAAACCUUAGUUAAGUAGUGUCACAUCUUCAGUAGUUAGUAUUUAACAAUUGGUGAAAACCUGAUUAAGUUAUUUUGCCUUAGCUGAUUAAGCUAUCGUGCCAGCAAUCGCGGUUAAACGAACGGCUAUUUUAAUAUAGUAAGCGGUUUAAUAUGGGGCUGUUUUUAGUAGCUGGAUAAGGGUAAUAAAAUUAAGGUAAAAUUUAGUUUUAUCCGUUAAAAGCUAAAACAGGGGCCAUGAAAAUUAUAAGGGAAACUUGGAUUAGAUACCCAAUUAUCUAUAAUUGUAAAGUUUUAUGCCGGUGGAGUGUAAGGGGGAGCCUUUAGAAACAAAGAACUUGGCGGUUGUUUAUUUCUGAUUUGGGGAGCUUGCUUAGUAAACUGAUAAUCCACAUAAAACCUUACCUUUUCUUGUAUUCAGCCUCUAUAUCAUCGUCAUUAAGUUUUCAUUGUAAAUUAGAAAACAAUAAAGUAAUAAGUUACUAGAUGUCAGAUCGAGAUGGAGCUAAUGAGAAGGGUAGAGUGAGCUACAAUGGCGGGUUGGCCUUAAUAAUUUGGAGGAUAUAUUGAAAACUUAACUGAAAAAGGACUAAAUAGUAAAAAUCUAGAAGAAAGAGUUUUUGAAAAUAGCUCUAAACUUCGUACACAUCGCCCGUCACCUGCAGGAUGAAACCUGGAGUAAGUCGUAACAUAGUAGGCGUAUCGGAAGGUGUGGCCUGGAUA
rnacentral:rRNA from 1 species